ensembl:lncRNA
GGGAUACCUCAGGCGUGGCCCUGCCCUGCUGCGCUGAAAUUCCUCUCAGUUCUGGAAGCAUACUUGUAGCAUGUGCUCUAGAAGCAGCGUUGGGGGAGUCCAAGAAUUACUUAGGAAUUUCCAAUACGACUCCAGAGCGCACCCGGGCUCUGCCUCUAAUCGGUCACAGGGCUUUUUCUUACCUAACCUCUCCCAGGGAGAGUUUCUUCAUCACCGAGAUACCUGCUUUGUAGAUGGUAAUAAGUAUUAAAGGAGACGGAUUAAAUGACACGUAGUAACUAUCCUGUAUAUGUGAGUAUAUGCAUUGACUUACUUAUUUCUAUUGCAAAGUAUAUGUUUCUUCUACAAAGGAAAUUACUCAUAUGUUUUGGCUAUCCUUAAACAAACCCCAUGUCCUGGCUUUCACACAUCUUUUUCUUUGGCCCCAGCCUGGUUUCUGUUCUCCCCAUGGGAAGUACCCUGGCCCGAAAAGCCUCCAAAGUGGGCUGAACCAAAGGGCCAGGAACGAGCUGAAGGCAAUGUCAGGGCAGGGUCAGAUACCAUGGGGGAUAAGACUAAGAGCAACAACCCUAUGGAAGAAACGGUGCUGAGCUUGGGAGCCAAGGAGACAACUGCAAUAUGUUCCAGCCUUGCAACGCUCAUAGUCUAGAGGGGGGAAAUGGAGAAAUAAACAGAUGAUCACAUACUCCCUUGGCUGAAGUAAAGGACAGAACAAGGGCAUUUCAGCCUUGCUUCCCAAAAAUCAGCCUCCUGCAUCUCUGCUGGGAGCUGAAGCCAGCAUCCUUGUUUAGAGAAGGAGUGAUUGCCAGGAGCUAUCUACCAAUCGAGCCACGCCUAGAGCCUCCAUUCGUUGCCCUUUUCCUCCCUCACUAUGUGUCCCUCUUGCCUCUCCCUGUUCUAUGGACUUGUUUUCUUUCUUCUUGUUUUUCUCCCACUGCCUUACAGGCCUCCACAGGGCCUUCCCCAAGCACUUUCUCCAAGCCACAUGCCUCAGGAAACCCUGGCCUAGAUUUGGGAAACUCACAACAGGUAUUGUCUUACGACGUUGGUAUUUCCUGUUCUUGCCACUUCAGUAGUGAAGUGGUCAUAUCUCAGGAUGUUUCCCCCUUCAAGUGCAGUUGUCUGAGGAGGAUGCUGAGAUCUGGGACAUCCAGAGAGAUCAGAGUAGGUAUAGUGCCAGAGGCUAGGGAAAGCAGGCCUGUGGGCAAGGGGGUGCUGUCUGGAGGAGCUCUAUGUAGAUGCCUAUGUCCUCCUCAGGUCAACAGAUAUCCUGAAAACACUGUCUGGUUCCAUGAACAAGUCUAGGAAGCAAGAAUCUCCAAGAGAAUAUUUUGCUCAAAAGAGCUUUCUUGCUUCUUUCCCAGUAACUCCAUUAUCCUCUCCCACCCCUCCCUAAGAGACUUAAAGUCUGUCAUUUUCAGAAUUGAGUUACUUCUGGGUCUUGGAGUGGUUAUUUCAUGCUCUUUAUGCAUUGGGGGAAAGCAAAGCCAGAUGGCUGUCUCCUGUUCUGGCUCUGUUCUUGGCUCAGAGCAAGGUCUUUAUUUUGCCUUUGCUACCUUGCUGUCCCUUGUUUUCUCCAUCUGCCCCCUCACAAAGCUGCCCAUCAGCCAUUUAUUGGGUUCUCCCCUGGGCAAAGCUCUCCGAGGUCUACUGUCAAGAUGGGACAAACAGGAAAAAGAUAUGCUUAGUGCUUUGGGCACUUGUAAUCCAUGGAGGGAACACAUGAUGUAAACGGGGCUUUGUGCCACUUUGAAAGUGAUGCAGUUCUUUUAAAAACCAUGCCUUGGGUCUGGAGAGAUGGCUCAGAUGGCUGAGAUGGCUCAGCUCUUGUAGGAACUAGGGUUCAAUUCUCAGGACCCACCUAGUGGCUCACAACUGUCUGUAACUCCAGUUCUAGGGGGUCUAAUGCCCUCUUCUGGCCUCUGUGUAUGUAGUACACAAAUACACCAGCAGGCAAAACACUCAUACACAUAAACAAUUCUUCAAAACUUUUUUUUUAAGUUUUAAAAAGCCAUGCCUCCUACAUGGGAUGGCUUUCCUUGAACUUACAGGAGUUCAAGUUGAUUCUUUUAUAAAGAAAGGGAGGCUUGGGAGAUAAGGGCAGACCUUUGUUGUGGAGAAAGAUACCUUCGGUCCCAAGAUUUUCAAUCAACAGAAACCAUAUUGUGGGGGCAGAGUAGGGCCUGGUGCUUUGGCUGGCCUUAGGGCCAACAGUUACGUAGUGUGAUGACAUCAGCAGGAGCAAUAGUGACGUCUAAAGGAUUCCUCUACACAAUUCACUGCCUCUUGUUCAAGAAAGUAACCAAGAACUUGCCAAGAGCAGCAACAGCACGUGCAACCCUCUACAGAUCCCAUCAUCGAUU